rnacentral:rRNA from 1 species
AAGUCGGACGGACACCUUCGGGUGUCAGUGGCGGACGGGUGAGUAACGCGUAGGAAUCUACCCCUAGGAGGGGGAUAACAGCUGGAAACGGCUGCUAAUACCCCAUACAGGCGCGAGCUGAAAGGAGCAAUCCGCCUAGGGAUGAGCCUGCGUCGGAUUAGCUAGUUGGUGGGGUAAUGGCCUACCAAGGCGACGAUCCGUAGCGGGUCUGAGAGGAUGGCCCGCCACACUGGGACUGAGACACGGCCCAGACUCCUACGGGAGGCAGCAGUGGGGAAUUUUCCGCAAUGGGCGCAAGCCUGACGGAGCAAUACCGCGUGAGGGAGGAAGGCCUUCGGGUUGUAAACCUCUUUUCUGGGGGACGAA